rnacentral:rRNA from 1 species
UACGUAGGGUGCGAGCGUUGUCCGGAAUUACUGGGCGUAAAGAGCUUGUAGGUGGUUUGUCGCGUUGUUCGUGAAAUCUCACGGCUUAACUGUGAGCGUGCGGGCGAUACGGGCAGACUAGAGUACUGCAGGGGAGACUGGAAUUCCUGGUGUAGCGGUGAAAUGCGCAGAUAUCAGGAGGAACACCGGUGGCGAAGGCGCCACUCUGGGCCGAAACUGACGCUGAGGAGCGAAAGCAUGGGUAGCAAACAGG